AUCCUCAUAUGCUGAUCUGCUCAAAAAUGUUGUUCUAACAGUUGGAUUUUCUUUGCACAGAACAAGAGGAUAUAGAUCUGCCAUAGCAGAAGUGUGACUCUCUUUCUAUUAAUUCUUGGUGUAAUGUAUCCAAUCUUGUUGGUUUUUUUUGGCAAGUUGUUUGCCUUGUAAUGCUGCAUUAGUUGCCAGAGGAGCCACAGAUCUGAAGACAGAAUGACAGCAGCCAUUCAUCGCCUGCUGUGUGAAAGCAGUGUCUCUUUAUGGCUUGUUGAUUACGCUGAUCUCACCAUCAUGCUGGCUUCGUCACAUGGCUAACCAUAUGCCAACCACUGGUCUUUCCACAGUACGAACACCAGCAGGUGAAUACGUGUAAUCAGAUCGGGAAGAGAGGAGGAGUUGUUCAGUUUCAGGACUUCUGGAAGAGGCAUCCACCAAGGCGGUGGAUGGUAAUGAGUGCUGACAGAGAUGGGCCACCCCCACAGUGCCGUGUGUGCAGAUAGCCGCUGCCAUGGCAAACUGGUUGUCUGCUAAAAAACCAGGCUGUCGGACGUACUGAGAGAAGAGCUUCCUCUCUUCCACAGGUGGCCAGUGUCUACGAGCAAACUACUAAAUCAGGUCUUUUCUUCCUGCAGAAAAAGGACUUCCACUCACUCUGGUGGCCGCGGGUGGUGCGUUGGUGUGGGCCCACAUAUAGACUUGUGAAAAGCAAGGUUAUGCAACAGGCCGGCCACUUGAAUAAACUGCCAUUUACUGUGGGUGAAUGGAGGAGUUAAGAACGGCGAGGGACCCAUUGUCAGCAGUCAUUGGUAUGCAGAGCACUGUACCAUUACGAUUAAGACCCUCGUCGGUUUUUAAUCGAAAUCCACUGUAUCUUCACUCUUGAUCUGUGAGGAGCUUUCUUCUCCAUGUCACCCUCAGACUGCCCCUGUCACAGAGAGCAACAGAAACACAGCAGUCACGUGGUCCGCCCCUGCAUAACACAUGGUGGACCAAAAAAACCCCUACCGGCACUUAGAAUGAAAGCAAAUCAAGCCUGAUAUGUUUUAUGACCAAAUCAUGUGUUCAAAGGUACUUGCAGACAAAUCUUGAGCAAACACUUCACUUGCAGCAUUGCAUGGAGAGAUGUUGCUGUACUCACUGGUUCAAUGAAGUAAUAACCAAAGGUGGACUCUUAGGCUAUUCAAUAACAACCAAAUCGUAUGCAUUUUCUUGUACUUAAUAAGUCAGUGCUUUUAUUCUGACGAAGCAAUCCAUAACUUCCUUGUUGACCCGGACAAACAGUGUUUCAAUAAGAGUUUGACACCUAUUGUCAUCUGAACCAACAGUGCAUGCAGAUAACCAAUGGCCUGGUUCAUUUUAGUCUGAACACAAGGAUUCACCCCAGUUCAGUAAAUCCUCCUUCUCCUCCCUCCCAGUCUGUCUUUGGAAGUGGAGUGAACUAGGUUAGGGUUAUAUAACCAGUGUCUGCUCUCAUAGAUCCUCAGCAGCUCGUCUUCCCCUAAUCUUUUCAGCUUGAUUACACCCUACAUCCCCCUCCUCUGCCGACUCAUUCAACUGAGAGUGUUCUCACACACACAAGUACAUCCACACAGGAGCACAUGGACAGAGCGUCAGGAUCCGCCAUGCACCGGUUUAGAGCGGAUGGGAUGCUUGUGAUUGCAGGUGUGAGUGUGUUUGUGUGUGUGUGUAGCUGCAGCAGUGUUUUGUCAGCGUGCAGCAUCUCGUCAUGACACACGAGAAGACAUGCGGUGGCUGCAUCUGAGGUUAGCUGUGCAUGUUCGCCAAGAUUACAGCUGAAAUUUCCAGACCAUUCCCCUUGUUUGCACUGUAUCUUAGUAUCACGAAGCAUCAGUCUCAGUCAUUACUAUGGCUUGAUAUCUGUGUGAACAAGAGUGACGUUACAAUCUGCUGGAAGAUGUCAACAAAAAGGGACUGUACUCCGAUAAUAUGUGACAUAUCGACUGCCUUGUCUGUGGUUUUGUAACACACAGUGAUACUGAAAAGAGACUGCUGAUACUGAAAGUGUUCCUGCAAUUCAUCAAUGUGGAUGCAACAUACAAAUAAACUAUUAUGAA